UUCCCUAGCGACGGCUAUUGUAAAUAAUCAAAGGAAAAUGGCGACCGGGUAGGUCUGGUUGCAACAUUGUCAAAAGGUUGUUACCGUCAAUUUCCUCCUAUUUAAUUCCAGAAAUGGUCAGCAGGCCACAGUCAAGUACGGCCGUGCUGAUGAUGUCUCUGAUCUGGAAGUACUAUGCUGACCCAGUGACGGUUCUGCCCAGUAAGUGGCUUUUCUCUAGAGCGAAUGGUGGCCUUCCCAUCUGGAGUAGCAGAUGGCGUUGGAAUCCCAUGGCGGCUCGUUGUUUGUAACAAGGCUGUUACAUUUUGAUAAACCAUCAGGAUUGUUUUGUAGCAUUUUCUUUCUUCACCAAUCCAUUCCUCGUCAUGAAACUACAUCAGACUUCUCAAAGUUGUCUUAUGAACUAAGUCUGGCUUAAUAAUGGUUACAAUUAGUUCCUUUUCUAAAUUAUUCGAGCCAUAUCACUCUUUUACCUACAUGCAACAGUGUUCUGCUGUGCAUCUUUGUUUGUCGGUUGCCUACUUUAUAACCCUCUUCCAGAAUUAUUAUUAUUUUGACUUAUCAAUAAAAACCUGCAAAACAUUA